GUUUGAAAAAAGUUCUAUCACUUCAGGCACACAAACAUAAGUUAAAUGAUCUGUACUGUACUGAAAAAACUGUAGCUAUUUACAAACAAAAACAAGAACAGUUUGAGAGAGAAUGGAAUAGCUGGCACUUUCUGUGUUUAUACUGGGAACAAUCACACAAAUACAUGAGACUUUUGUUUUUAAAUUUGCUAAUGGAACCUAUAAAUCUGGCUCUUUACUCUCCAUCUUUCUUGAAUCAGAAACCAUAUAAUGGCAGUAAUAUAUAGAGCAAACCACAGAUGACCAAUUCCUUUUUUUUUUUUUUUUCCUAAAAAUUUCAAACUUGUAUUUGUUUUUUUGUUAGAUUUUUUUUGUUAUUCUUUUGACAAACUUUUGAUUUUUUUCUUUUAUUUUUCUCUAUCAAUUUUUUUUUCUUCUUCAAACUUUUACUAU
rnacentral:lncRNA from 1 species